GUAACAAGAACGGGGUAGGUCAGGCAUAACGCAUUUGGCCAAAGGCCCAAUCCUAUAACACCAACACGACUUCACAUGCCCAUGAAUACCCAGCCUAUACAGCCAGUUCAGAUGCCUGGACUGCGUAAAACCCCAUGAACAAACCACACAAAACGACUUUGGCAUCGACUACACACCAUCACGAAUUCACCUCAAACGAUUCAAAGAAUUCGCUGCAAAAUCCUGUGCGAACCUACCAGAUUUGUGGCGUGGCGUUGCGUCGUCAUUGAAUAUGACAGGGAAUCGUCGUUGUCGAUAUUGAUUUAUGAAGGAUGCCGAAGGAUGCACCCUCAUGACUGAUAAAGAGCUUGGAAUCGCGAUCGAAUUGAGGAGAGAUUCUCCGUGAAAAGGUUUCGGUGAAGAGUGCGCGAUGGGAAGCCUCGAAUCGAAUCUUCUAUUCGUGUUGUCUUCCAUGUUCCGGUGCGGUAUUCAGUUGGAAGUUUGUUGGUUGUCGCCCGUUGCUGCGCUUUCUGCGUUGCGUUUCGAUUUCCGCUUGCAGCAUUGAGAUGCAGGUGGUGUGGUGGUUUGAGCUCCACCAAUUGAAGCUUCAACAUGAAGCUUCAAUGGUGUUUCACUAUCAGAGCUUUGGUGAGGGAAAGAGAAGACGAUUGAAAAAGUGAAACAGAAGGUUGAAUAGUGGAGUAGAAAGAUUGCAGAAAUGAAAAAAAAAACCUCCUCAGAAUGAGGCUUGGAGGGCUUAUAUAAAGCGCUUAGCCUAAUCGAUUCGGGAAGGUGGUUGAUCGAGGUCAGUUCGGGUAGCCUGUCAGUUAAUAACAGUUGGGAAAUUGGUUUGAUUAGUUUGUUAACUGGGCUUUUUAACUUUUUGCCUAUGGUUUUCUUGUAGAUAACCUUGAGUGAGAAUUGUUAUAUCGAUCGAAACUCUAGGUUGAAGUUAGUUGGUGAAAUAAGAUCCAAACAUUAUCCAAUUAAAAUUCCAUUUGAACGUAUUUGGGUAUGAGUGAAAAACUGAAAACCUGUUAUUUCUGACUUUUCCAAACUCAUGUGAACAAGUUAGAAUUCAUUCUUUUUUUGGAACUACACUUAAUCCUCCUUUGUUGAUGCAGUAUCGUUUAGCUCAUCUUUUAUCGAGGGAACCAGGCCAGCUGCAGAACCGGACAACAACAGGCAUAUAGCCACUGGCACUAAAGCUAUCAUAGUGAUCUUCCAAUCAGGUUAUCACCUUAGAUGGUAUCUCAUCCGGUGUCCCAGUUUCUGCAAGUAGCACCCUUUACCACUAAUGAGCUUAAUGGGUUUGAGAGUGGACUUGAAGGUUUUGAAGGCUUUUACUGGUCAUUUUGUCCCGUAUGCAGUUCAACGGUGUUUGGUUUUUUUGCAGUUGCACCUUCGCUGCAGCUUGUGAUGAUGUGUACUAUCAUGUCUGGAGAUGUUAGUUUGGAUGGUUAAAUGCAGGGCUGAACUGGUCAUGUUUCUUCUAUCAAUGACAUUGCAGGUGAAUCUGAGUUAUGUGUCGUUGCCAGCUUAAUUUCCAAAUGCAGUUUGAAGUUAAUUAGGCUAGAUAUGGCAAUGCAAUGUGGACUAUUUCCUUGUACGGUGGGUGUAGCCGGAAAUUCAUGGUCAUCAAGCUAUUGACAAGCUAGAGAUCAAUUAACAAGAGUCGCCUCCGCGUUUUUAUUAUUUCCAAGGGAAAAGGGAAAAAGUACGAACAAAACCCAAUUAGUAAGAAGUUUUAAAGUAAAAACUAAUAAAAAUUAUAGAUCACAGGUAAGGGGGUUGGUGACACAGAUGGAAGGUGUUAGCACCCAAAGUGUCCUAGUUACUCCUAGGGAACCCUUUUUGUGUGCAUAUGUAUUUUGUACAAAGUGAUAUUUACAAACAAAUAGAAUGGGGGAUGAGAAAAUAAUUCAUUAA